rnacentral:lncRNA from 1 species
UUUGUAGUGGCGCAUAGAUCGCGCGCAAACUGCAAUGCACGGUGCAGCUAUGCCCGUCUUGGCACUACGAAAGGUAGAUUUAGGUGCACGUUAAAGAAUUCCAGUUGAAGCGGUUUCUGCACCAUAGGGGACGCUUCGACAACCCAGAGUACAGCGCGAACACAGUGUCAAGGUACGUCGGAUUUGCCAUCAUCAACUUCCUGAUGACCGGGUUUAAG